GUCUGGUGCCAGCAGCCGCGGUAAUUCCAGCUCCAAUAGCGUAUAUUAAACUUGUUGCAGUUAAAAAGCUCGUAGUUGAAUUUCUGCGUUAUCGAGUUAUUGACUCUUGUCUUUAAUCGAUUUCGCUUUUGGGAUUUAUCCCUUUUUACUUUGAGAAAAUUAGAGUGUUUCAAGCAGACUUUUGUCUUGAAUACUUCAGCAUGGAAUAAUAGAGUAGGACUUUGGUUCUAUUUUGUUGGUUUUUGAACCUUAGUAAUGGUUAAUAGGAACGGUUGGGGGCAUUCGUAUUUAACUGUCAGAGGUGAAAUUCUUAGAUUUGUUAAAGACGAACUACUGCGAAAGCAUUUGCCAAGGACGUUUCCAUUAAUCAAGAACGAAAGUUAGGGGAUCGAAGACGAUCAGAUACCGUCGUAGUCCUAACCAUAAACU
rnacentral:rRNA from 1 species